rnacentral:rRNA from 1 species
GACGGAGGAUGCAAGCGUUAUCCGGAAUGAUUGGGCGUAAAGCGUCCGCAGGUGGCAGUUCAAGUCUGCUGUCAAAGACCGGGGCUUAACUUCGGAAAGGCAGUGGAAACUGAACAGCUAGAGUAUGGUAGGGGCAGAGGGAAUUCCUGGUGUAGCGGUGAAAUGCGUAGAUAUUCGGAAGAACACCAGUGGCGAAGGCGGCUCACUGGCCCGGUACUGACGCUGAGGAGCGAAAGCGUGGGGAGCGAACAGG